rnacentral:rRNA from 1 species
CCUACGGGUGGCAGCAGUGGGGAAUAUUGCACAAUGGGGGCAACUCUGAUGCAGCGACGUCGCGUGCGUGAAGAAGUCCUUCGGUAUGUAAAGCUCUAUCAGCAGGGAAGAAAACGACGUUACCUGACUAAGAUGCCCCGUCCAACUACGUGCCAGCAGCCGUGGUAAUACGUAGGGAGCAAGGGUUAUCCGGAUUUACGGGGUGUAAAGGGAGCGUAGACGGCAGAGCAAGACUGAAGUGAAAGCCCGCGGCCCAACUGCGGGACUGCAUUGGAAACUGGCCGGCUAGAGUGCUGGCGAGGUAAGCGGAAUUCCUGGUGUAGCGGUGAAAUGCGUAGAUAUUAGGAGGAACACCAGUGGCGAAGGCAGCUUACUGUACAGUAACUGACGUUGAGGCUCGAAGGCGUGGGGAGCAAACAGGAUUAGAUACCCGGGUAGUC